GCUGCAUGGCCGUCGUCAGCUCGUGUCGUGAGAUGUUUGGUUAAGUCCAGCAACGAGCGCAACCCCUGUUGCCAGUUACCAGCACGUGAAGGUGGGGACUCUGGCGAGACUGCCCAGAUCAACUGGGAGGAAGGUGGGGACGACGUCAGGUCAGUAUGGCCCUUAUGCCCAGGGCUGCACACGUACUACAAUGCCCAGUACAGAGGGGGCCGAAGCCGCGAGGCGGAGGAAAUCCUAAAAACUGGGCCCAGUUCGGACUGUAGGCUGCAACCCGCCUACACGAAGCCGGAAUCGCUAGUAAUGGCGCAUCAGCUACGGCGCCGUGAAUACGUUCCCGGGUCUUGUACACACCGCCCGUCACAUCAUGGAAGCCGGUCGCACCCGAAGUAUCUGAAGCCAACCGCAAGGAGGCAGGGUCCUAAGGUGAGACUGGUAACUGGGAUGAAGUCGUAACAAGGUAGCCGUAGGGGAACCUGCGGCUGGAUCACCUCCUU
rnacentral:rRNA from 1 species